GAUGAACGCUGGCGGCGUGCCUAAUACAUGCAAGUCGAGCGAACGGACGAGAAGCUUGCUUCUCUGAUGUUAGCGGCGGACGGGUGAGUAACACGUGGAUAACCUACCUAUAAGACUGGGAUAACUUCGGGAAACCGUAGCUAAUACCGGAUAAUAUUUUGAACCGCAUGGUUCAAAAGUGAAAGACGGUCUUGCUGUCACUUAUAGAUGGAUCCGCGCUGCAUUAGCUAGUCGGUAAGGUAACGGCUUACCAAGGCAACGAUGCAUAGCCGACCUGAGAGGGUGAUCGGCCACACUGGAACUGAGACACGGUCCAGACUCCUACGGGAGGCAGCAGUAGGGAAUCUUCCGCAAUGGGCGAAAGCCUGACGGAGCAACGCCGCGUGAGUGAUGAAGGUCUUCGGAUCGUAAAACUCUGUUAUUAGGGAAGAACAUAUGUGUAAGUAACUGUGCACAUCUUGACGGUACCUAAUCAGAAAGCCACGGCUAACUACGU
rnacentral:rRNA from 1 species